rnacentral:rRNA from 1 species
CAGUCGCCGCGGGAAUACGUAGGGUGCGAGCGUUAAUCGGAAUUACUGGGCGUAAAGCGUGCGCAGGCGGUUUUGUAAGACAGAGGUGAAAUCCCCGGGCUCAACCUGGGAACUGCCUUUGUGACUGCAAGGCUAGAGUACGGCAGAGGGUGAUGGAAUUCCGCGUGUAGCAGUGAAAUGCGUAGAUAUGCGGAGGAACACCGAUGGCGAAGGCAAUCCCCUGGGCCUGUACUGACGCUCAUGCACGAAAGCGUGGGGAGCAAACAGGAUUAGAUACCCGCGUAGUCCCUGUCUCUUAUAC